AAGGUUUUCGACGUCCUGAUAGCAGAUGGUAAUCUGUACCAAACCGACUACUAUCUCUCCGAAACAUCAGACGGCUGUUAGAGGAUGAUUAUUUUUAUGACAACGGCGAAAGGGAAACUUUACACAUAGGCAACCGGAGAGAUUAACAAAUCAUUAAUUGCGUAUUUUACGUGGAUAUCAGGGAUCUAUCAUUCCCGUGAACAAAAUGGCGUCUAUACUUGAGAAGCUGUUUUUACAAAGGAUGACUGUAUUGGUGGCAAUGGUUGUGUUGGCGGGAAUACUUGUAUGGACUAUUUACAACAUGAUGAUAAAAGAACCUAAUGGUAUACAGCCAGAUGGUUCCUUUAAUGGUUGACAACUUCCGUAACGCUGGACUUAGAAACGACACCAGUCACAUUGUUGCGAUGCUUUUCUGACAUACCCAUAAUGGUUGGAAUCAAUUUUGAUACUUCCUUCUCAUCUUUUUUGUUUUCAUUUUUGCUGUUAAUUCAAUUAAAGUCAAAUUUGUUACAAACAACUUUCAAUUAAUCUUGUAACAUCAAUUGGUAGUUAAGCAAACACGUUAAACGAACAGAGCGACGCAGUUGAUUACAAAGUUGUCUUUACGCAACAUUAAGUACAUUUAAGUUGGUGUGUAUAUAUGUGAUGUGACAGUAAUAUGUAUCUGUUGCAAAUAUGAUUUAUUGUGAAAAUUUAUAUCCUUGUCGGACAAUUGAGGCAUUGAAUGUGUUGUUGGAUAUGAUACCCUAAGUUAUUAUAUGCUGUGGUGAGGAAUGGAGACCCAAAAUAUCUGUGGCGUUUUUGUUUGUUUGUUUUUUCAAUCCCACAUUGUCUUUUUAUGAUAUACACUACAGAGUUUCACUUAUCAAAUAUCUCUUAAUCACACCUGCCACAUAUAUGGAUUGAAUAGAUUUUUUAAAUUUUCAUUGCGGCUAUGAAUACCAGUAGCUAGUUACAUAUCCUCCGAUGCGCGCGGUAAUGUAAUUUUAUGCUUUAUAUAUGAAAAUGUCCUUAACUUUCCUAGAUACAUCCUCUUUGAUGGUGGCCUUAUAUAUUCACACGCCAUGUUGUUUGUUCGUGUUAUAGUUAGUAUACACAUCAAAGGCAGCUACGCCAUUAGCUUAAUCUAUACAAUAAACACGUUCACUAUUUAUAUUUUCCGAAAUUUUACUGUUAUUUUUCUCAUACAUUGUUUGUAAGAGUUAUGUCCCUUGCACCUUAGUCGGUACUCCUUUAUCCUUUUAGAUAGGAAGAGUGGUCACGAGACAUUUGCUUGAUCAAUUAAAGUCAGGGUACUCUGAGGCUCUCAUUAUCUGUCAACCAUCUUAGAUUUAGCUGUUCCAAUCCAGGAAAGUGUAUGGAUCUUUUCUGCAUAAUAACAAUCCUCUACCUCCCUUUCUUUGUCGAUCAACAUAAUGUUCUCCACUUCUGAAUAAUACAACAUUUUUACGCAUUAGUAAUAAUCAAAAGUAGGUGUCUUUGUGUAGCGUUUUGAUAGCCCCACAUCGGAAUUUUACGAUUAGUUUGUAUAGUAUAUUUAUGCAUUUUAUCUCUGUGUGUUAUGGCGGUCUUUGUUAACCCCAUAUGUUUACGAUAUGUAUGUUGGUAACAUGUUUUUGGAUAAAAGUAUCUUAACUGACUACAUUAGAUACAUUAUUAAAUCUAGUGUUUCGCCUCUGGUCAUUUUUCUAUCUACCGGGUAUAGUUUCCUCCUAACGGUGGAGUGCACCCUGGUCUCCAAAAGUGGAAUUUAGUCUAAAUUGUUCUGGUGCUGUUGUAACAUUUUUUUUUGUUUACAAUAUGUUCUGAAGAGUUACAUAAUAUAAGUAAUUUUCUGUUAGAUUUAUUAUUCUCUUAAAUUCUCCUCAAAUUCAUUAGAGAAGGUAUUGUUCUUUCUUGUUGUUAACUGAUAUUUUAUAUGCAGCACUUCGGUGCGGUAUAUUGAUAUAUCUGUGACAAAAUGCAGUUAACUUACCAGUAAAACAUAAACAAAAAUCUCACAUUUACAUUUUCACAGCUUUUCUUACUUAUGCUACUUGGAAAAUAUCAAUAAUAAUAAUCUAUUCUGCGUUAUACGCACCGACGGAAUUGUCUGACAACUGAUGGAAUAGUAAAACAAUUAAUUCUCAUUUGGCGGGAAAGGUUGUCACAGGGAAGUAAACAGAAUAUUGUUCCGUAAUAUCAUCAUAUAUUUAUCCCAUUUCUGUGAGAUGAAUUUAAACAUUUACAGCUUCAA